GGUUCUGUGGCUGAGUGGUUAGGCCUGGUUACGCAAUAGCCAGUAGAUUGGUUCGAAUCCAGUCGGAACCU
rnacentral:tRNA from 1 species